GAUACCCGUAGUAAUUCUAGAGCUAAUACAUGCAUCAACGCCCAAUCGGGCCGCGUUUAUUAGAUAGAAACCCAUAUUUUUGGUGAAUCAUAAUAACUGUGCGAAUCGCAUGGGUUUACCCCGGCGAUGAAUCAAUCAAGUUUCUGCCCUAUCAGCUUUCGAUGGUAGGGUAUUGGCCUACCAUGGCGUUAACGGGUAACGGAGAAUUAGGGUUCGAUUCCGGAGAGGGAGCCUGAGAAACGGCUACCACAUCCAAGGAAGGCAGCAGGCGCGUAAAUUACCCAAUCCUGACACAGGGAGGUAGUGACAAUAAAUAACAAUGCCGGGCUUUUUCAAGUCUGGCAAUUGGAAUGAGCACAGUUUAAAUCCCUUAACGAGGAACAAUUGGAGGGCAAGUCUGGUGCCAGCAGCCGCGGUAAUUCCAGCUCCAAUAGCGUAUAUUAAAGUUGUUGCAGUUAAAUAGCUCGUAGUUGAACUUUGGGCCGGGCUGGGCGGUCACGCCUCGCGGCGCGCACUGCUCGGUCUGGCCUCUCCUUUCGGGGAUGCGUGGUGCUCUUUGCUGGGUGCCGCGCGGAUCCGAGACUUUUACUUUGAAAAAAUUAGAGUGUUCAAAGCGGGCGGCUCUGCUUGGAUACAUUAGCAUGGAAUAAUGGAAUAGGACCUUGGUUCUAUUUUGUUGGUUUCCAGGACCGAGGUAAUGAUUAAUAGGGACAGUUGGGGGCAUUAGUAUUCAGUUGUCAGAGGUGAAACUCUUGGAUUUACUGAAGACUGACUUCUGCGAAAGCAUUUGCCAAGGAUGUUUUCAUUAAUCAAGAACGAAAGUUAGGGUAUCGAAGCGAUCAGAUACCGUCGUAGUCUUAACCAUAAACCAUGCC
rnacentral:rRNA from 1 species